rnacentral:rRNA from 1 species
UACGGGGGGGGCAAGCGUUGUUCGGAAUUACUGGGCGUAAAGGGUCUGUAGGUGGCCAACUAAGUCAGACGUGAAAUCCCUCAGCUUAACUGGGGAACUGCGUCUGAGACUGGAUGGCUUGAGGACAGGAGAGGAAUGCGGAAUUCCAGGUGUAGCGGUGAAAUGCGUAGAGAUGUGGAGGAACACCGAUGGCGAAGGCAGCCUCCUGGGCCAACACUGACGCUCAUGCACGAAAGCGUGGGGAGCAAACAGG